rnacentral:misc_RNA from 1 species
GAUGAAGAACGCAGCGAAAUGCGAUACGUAGUGUGAAUUGCAGAAUUCAGUGAAUCAUCGAAUCUUUGAACGCACAUUGCGCCCUUUGGCAUUCCAAAGGGCAUGCCUGUUCGAGCGUCAUUUGUACCCUCAAGCUUUGCUUGGUGUUGGGCGUCUUGUCUCCAGUCAGCUGGAGACUCGCCUUAAAGUCAUUGGCAGCCGGCCUACUGGUUUCGGAGCGCAGCACAAGUCGCACUCUUUUCCAGCCAAGGUCAGUGUCCAACAAGCCUUUUUUCAACUUUUGACCUCGGAUCAGGUAGGGAUACCCGCUGAACUUAAGCAUAUCAAUAAGCGGAGGA